AGUGAACGCUGGCGGUAGGCCUAACACAUGCAAGUCGAACGGCAGCACAGUAAGAGCUUGCUCUUACGGGUGGCGAGUGGCGGACGGGUGAGGAAUACAUCGGAAUCUACUUUUUCGUGGGGGAUAACGUAGGGAAACUUACGCUAAUACCGCAUACGACCUACGGGUGAAAGCAGGGGAUCUUCGGACCUUGCGCGAUUGAAUGGGCCGAUGUCGGAUUAGCUAGUUGGCGGGGUAAAGGCCCACCAAGGCGACGAUCCGUAGCUGGUCUGAGAGGAUGAUCAGCCACACUGGAACUGAGACACGGUCCAGACUCCUACGGGAGGCAGCAGUGGGGAAUAUUGGACAAUGGGCGCAAGCCUGAUCCAGCUAUACCGCGUGGGUGAAGAAGGCCUUCGGGUUGUAAAGCCCUUUUGUUGGGAAAGAAAAGCAGCAGGUUAAUACCCCGCUGUUCUGACGGUACCCAAAGAAUAAGCACCGGCUAACUUCGUG
rnacentral:rRNA from 1 species